GCUCCGCAUGUAGAGAAGACAAGUUGCUCUUGUGGGAUAAUAUUUCUUAAUUUAUUGUUUUCGUUUAUGUUCAGAUAAAAUUAGGCUUGCGCAUGUUUGCUGUCUAGUUUUAGUAGCUUUUAAUGGAGUCGGAGCAGAGUCUAAGCCCUGGAGGCGAGAGGGGGAUUGUUCUUCAGGAUGAGGAGGUGAAAAAGGAGGGAGAUGAGGAACCAACUGCUGGUACAGAGGAGGAAGAUGAAGACGCUCUCCCGCAUUCAGAGAUCCUGGAUAUCUUCGAAGAGGGACUGGCUCGUCUUGUGCAGGACCCUUUACUCUGUGAUUUGCCAAUACAGGUGACCCUGGAAGAGGUGAAUUCCCAGAUUGCCUUGGAAUAUGGCCAGGCGAUGACUGUGAAGGUUUUAAAAGCAGAUGGUGAAAUAAUGCCCAUUGUGGUUGUCCAGAAUGCUACAGUCCUCGAUCUUAAGAAGGCCAUUUGCAGAUUUAUGGAGUUGAAACAGCAGCGAGAAGGCGGCGUGAAACAUGUCAGCUGGAGAUAUGUUUGGAGAACCUAUCAUCUUGUAUUUCAAGGCGAGAAACUUGAAGAUGACACAAUGAGGCUCAAAGAUUACGGAAUCAGGAACAGAGAUGAAGUGACGUUUAUGAAGAGACUCAGGAAGAAAUGAUGCAGCAUGUUUGGAGAAUAAACACAAUUUCCUGCAGUGUCCCAGUUUCUUCUUUAAACCAGACUGCAACAGUUUGCAAAAAUGGGAGUAAUAAACACCGCCCAAAUAAUUUGAAUAUUUCCUGAAAGAUGGGAACAAUAUUCUCUUGUUCAGCUUAUAUGGAUUUUACCUGUGAACGACAUAGCAGAGGCAGCAAAAGCAAGCUGCCGCCAUGACCUCUUCACAAAAUGAGGUCAAGACAAUAGCAGAAAGACUGAAAGACAUUUCGCUGAAGGAGGAACAGCUUACAGACAGAAAGAAAAUCUUAAUGGUAUUCCAGGAGCUAAGGAAUCGGGCUGAAUUUGGAGAAACAGAAGAGUCAGCUGCUACCCAACAAGAGAUCAAUUCUAUUGACAAUGCAUUGAAAGAACUCAGGAUAAAGAAGGCUGAACUGCAAAAGAACUGUGACAAUAUCUUUGAGGCAAAAGAUGAGAGAAUCAAAAACGAUAUCAAGCAUGAGUCCAACCAGGAGCUUGACACCAGUGCUUCUGAAGAUAGAAUCUUCUUCGUUGAACCGCCUCCUUCUUUUCCCCCCCCAGCUGUGAUUCUGGAUAUUGGAAAGCUUCCUACACAUCCAAGUAGGACACAGUGCCCAGAGUGCAUGCAGUUUGUCACAACGGAGACUUUCACUUCCGUCAGUAGCGUGACCUGGCUUGUUUGCUUUAUGUCAUUUAUGAUGGGCUGCGUGGCCGGUUGCUGCCUCCUUCCUUUCUGCAUGGAGAAGUUCAAGACCACCACGCACAGAUGUCCAAAGUGUCGGUCGAAAAUCACAACCAUCAAAAAGCUCUGAGAGGAGAAGCAAGCACAUGCUGAGAAGAAAAACGCUGUACCAGCAGCUGCUGGUGAUUUAGUAACUGCUGAGAGGAUCUGCUGAAGAGUUUGUUUAGCAAUAUCAUCCUCUAAGUAAUUUAUGUUUAAGUCUAAGGAUUUAUGGUUGUGAACUUAAAACUUAAAUCUUGGCUGAAUGGCUUUAAUGACGCACAUCUCAAUAGGUGUAGCUGUACCUUGCAUGUAAAUAUGUAUAAUAAUAGAUCUAUAAAAUAUAUGAAAUCUAAUAUUUCAAUUUUAAACUACCUGAAAACUUCUACUGAUCUAGAAGUGGUUCUUUAAGAGGAUUGUGAUGCUGUGGGCCUUUAAUCACUUCAUCAAAAUGAUUGAAUCUUGUCUUUGAAAGAUCAAAAUAUUUUAAAUAGGAAUCUGGUGGACUCUGGCAGGAAACUGAAAAUGGGCCAAAAGAUGAAAGAACCCAGGACUCUGAAUGACGAGAGACUUUGCAACAGAAAAUGAUCUGGAAUCUCUUCUUUUUCUGUAUUCUCUAACCUUGUGAAAUGCUGUAGGAGAAUAUGUAAUGGUGGGUUGUACAAAGUCCUCACAGCAGUACAAAACAAUGUGGAUAUGGGAACGUUUCAUUCGCUGAACAAAUGUACUCAAAGGCUGUGUUUUUUUUUUCUAGAAUUACAAACUAUAAAUUCUCAUUUAUAAAGAAAUGAAAAUAUUUAAUUUUGCACCUGGCAUAUAUCUUUGUCAGGUGCGACAUUAAACAUGUCUGGCAGUGGAUAUGCUUGUAGUGAGCUGCUCAAUAAAGAAACAUAAGAACUUAUUUUCCUUAAGCAGACUAAUUACUGAAACCUUAGAGUUUUGUUUUUUU